rnacentral:RNase_P_RNA from 1 species
ACAGUCUGCCGUUCCAUCGUUCUCUGUCAUCCGGUGAAAGCCGGCCGAUUGGGGGAAGGAAAGUCCGGGCAACACAGAGCACCAUACUUUCUAACAGAAAGAUAUCCGUGAGGGUAUAUUAGUGUAACAGAAAAUAACCACCCUGUAUUCCUGCAACAUCAGGAUCCGGGGAACGGGUGAAAAGGUGAGGUAAAAGCUCACCGGUAUUGGUGGUGACAUCAAUAGCCGUACGCAUUAUGGGUUGAAAGACCAUGUAUACCGGCUUUAAGGAUUGCUCGUCCGAUGCCGGGGGGUAGGUCGUUAGAUCCGGUCAGCAAUGGCCGGACGAGAUAAAUGAUGGAAUCCGGUUUAAAUUUCUUUUGCAGAAAGCCUGACCGGAACAGAAUCCGGCUUACAGGCAGACUGUAUUC